UCAGCGGGCUACAUCAAAAAAUUACCCUAAUUAUGCCUGCAUUUAUGAGAAUGGGGAAGGGGGAAAAAAGCCUCACUUGGAUAAAAACCCCUCAAAUUGUCCCAAAUAUCUCCUUCAUAUUGAACGCCACUGCAGCUGGCUGCUUUGUUCAGCAUCGAUCCCGCGGAGCUUGGCAUUUAACCGCCCGCAUUAGGACGGAGAGAAGGGAGAAAACAUUUUGUCAAUACUUCUAAUAGCUGAGGGUGAAAUGACAAGAUAAGCUGGACCUGGAGCAAAUGUCUUCCGAGGUGAAUGGAGACAGGGUACACCUCCAUCCCCUCUUGGCAGCUCCAUCUCCUGCUCCCCCCGUCUCCUCUCUCCGUUGGUUGGUUUCCACAGCUGUGGUGAGUGAGGGGCAGAUGACCGGAGAAUUGGCCCCUGGGAGAGCGCUGAGCCAUCCUGGUGCUAUUAGGCUCGUGGCUAAUAAUAGGUGUUUCAGACCGGGGGAAGAUCAAUCAGGGGGGGAAUCAUGGGGAAUGUUCUGAGCAGUGCUUUUUACACAUCGGCCCAGAUGGAUGAAAUUACACUUGUCAGUUUUUAGUUGCAUUACUCCCAAAUUGGUUGUCUACUCUUUUUUUUCCUCAUCUCCCUCCCUCAGACCCUCUCCUCUCUUUUCUCUCACUUUGCCCCCAUUCAUGUGUCAGUGGCCUGUUAAAAGGAUUCUUUGGUGAAAUCCCUGUCAUUUUUGUCUUUUCCCUGUUUAGCCCUCAGCCAGCAACUUUAUUGCCGGCUUGCAUGCACUUAGGAGAAAGUCUUAAAGGCUGGCUCAAUUUUCAUGUUAACUGGGAGCUGCAGCUGACAUUCUGUAUGUGUUCUGUGUGCAUAAUGAAGCUGGCGGGUUUGUUAUUGUCAAACGUUGAGAGAAAGGCUGCAGAAAGUGGUGGAUCCUCGGAGGAAAACACUACAUGAUGCACUGGUUAAAGCAGUAAUCACUCCCUACGAUGAUGCAGCACGUACUUUUGUGAAAUAUUGAGGACUACUUAGCCACUACUGUGUGCUUUACCAUCAUUACUAUACCAUCAUUAAGGAACUACAACUAAAGUAAUUGUUAAUUAAAGAGUGAUUACAUACACGUUAACUAGUUUUAAUUGACACAAAUAAAUGAGUUUAUUAAAUUUUUGUGUAAUAAUUUCCUGAAUUUAUUUCUUCCUCUAAAGCUUUUCAUUCGAAGGGUUGAUUCUGAAUUAUUUUCAUGAUGUUAAACAAUGUAUGAAGGUUUUUAUUUGUGAAAAUAAAGAUAAUAAAGCUGUUACAAAUGACCCUUAGAUGAUAAAACAACAAGGGGAUUGAAGAAUGUUUUUUUUUUAUAAUUAUUUGGAAAUUUUCUGCAUUUUUAGUUUUAUUAAAAAUGAUUGUUUUUUAGUUUCCAAAUUUGUGUAAAAUUUAUGUUUUUUUAAUAAAAAAUAAUGCUUUUAAAGUGUACCACAGUGUUUAGAAAAAUGAAAUAAAAUCUAUUUUUUGCAAUAUUUUGUGUAGUUUUAUCUACUCUGCAUUAAUAUGCUGUAAUUCCCUCUGUCAGAUUUGUAAAAAUGCAAUACUUUUAUUCAUUUAUGAACGGUCCGUACCAACACUGCUCUAAUAUUUCUAUCUGUAAUGUUGACAUUUCCGCAUUUCAUUUCUCUUCUCUUCAGCACUUCAUUACAUUUUAUAUCAUCUUGAAUGAAAAAAAUGUUUUUUUUUUUUUAUUUUUUACAAUAAAUUCAGGCUUGAAGGAGUUCAAUUUGUUCAUUUUUAAAUAUAUAAAUAAUUGUUGCUAAAUUUUCUGAAUUUUGAGUUGAAAAAAAUGAGAAUUUGCUCACUUCUUUGGUUGUUUAUCACUAAAAAUGUACAAAUAAAUGUUUUUACCAACACCACUGCAUUUGAAGGUGAUGCUAACUGGGGGAUUAGGAGGGUGUUUUCUGUGGCCGUGCAGCUCCUGAUGUGUUGGAUGAUAAACAGAGGCAGCUGCAGAGGUGACAAUGGCGGCUGAUUCCAUUCACUGAUUUCCUGUUGUCACUAACCAAACUUAAAUAUUUAGCCUCAUUUUCUUCUUCUUAAAGUUUCAAAAUGAUUUUUUUGUCUUCAAAACCAACAUCCACAACCUGCCAUCAGAAAUCCAUGGACAUGAUCAUCACAGUGUGCUAAAUAAGCAGUGGAAAUCAAUACAGUCCCCAGAUGUUGGGGUCUCCCGGUCCCUCCAUGCAGAGAUGUUCCUCAGUGUCUGAUUGCACGGGGAGACGGCUGGAAACAGAAAGGCUCCUUUGACUGAAAGCGUGGUGACCAUGGGGGAGGAAACCGAGCCCUCUGUGAGAGAAAGAGUCUCCUUAGCAACGGCAAGAAAAUUAACAUUGACAUCCUGACUUCCCGGCAAAACUCCUCUCAGGGCUUCUGCUGGAUAUUUCCAUGAGGAGAGUAUUAAAAAAAAAAAAA